rnacentral:lncRNA from 1 species
CCGCAGUCAGUGAGGGAGGAGGAUCAGAAACAGGCUGGAGAAGACGGAGAAGGGGGAGGAGAAAACAGGCAGAGCACAGCGGAGGACGGGAAGCCAUCGGAGGAUGCCACAACCUCUGUGAUUGGAUAAAGAGUGCACUAGUGACCAGCACUAUGGACCUGCCGCAACCAGAUGUUUCCCACAAUCCUUAGUUCUCUGAUAAACGGCUGAGUCUGCCAAACUCUGAUCCUUCACCAUCACCUAUCUAAGACCUGCCAGGUAAGAAUAGUGCACACACCUGGUAAACAAUGAUAAAAAUGCCCUCAUAAACAAUAAACAAACUGAUUGCAAACUGUCUAGAGAGGAA